rnacentral:lncRNA from 1 species
CUUAGGCACCUGUGGAGCGCGUGGCUGGCGAGGGUUCUCUCGAACUCCAGAGGUCCCUGAUCCAGGCGCAUAUGGUUCUCCAGGAUGAACACCCUGCUGACAUCCUGACCAGGGGCCACUCAUGUGACCAGGAGGAGUUUGUUAACGCCCCUGUCCUGAUCCGUGAAGGGACUGGCCAGAAGUGGGGAGGGAGAAGGCAAGCCACCUGCUGGAGACAAGACUCUGGGGGUCUCCAGGAGGAGCAGGAGCCCAGAUGCCGGAGGUUGAUGGACUGUCCGGGGCUCCACCCUGCGCCAACUUCUCCACUCAAAGAGACCUCCCACCUUCUGUGGUCUGAUCCCGCCUAAUGGGCCCAUCCGGUAGGUGAAUCAGAGACCUGCAGGGCUGGUCACUGCAGGCAGCACUCCGCCUGACCUCAGGGAGGAGGGACGGUACAGAGAUAGCAGAGAGGUGACAGCGAUGCCUCUCCUCUCUCUCUCUCUCUCUCUCUCUCUUUCUCUCUCGCCGCCGGACUGGCUCCAGGCUACCCGCACCAGCAGGGACACUGAUCCCGUGAGUCCUGCUGCCACCGCUCCUGGACUCCCCACCGCCCCGGGCCCACGCAGCUUCCAAACCUCAAGCCCCGGCCUGGGCUCUUGGCCAGGCCUGGCGCGGAGGGGAUCGGAGAAAUGGGGCGCGGGAUCGCAGAGGACUGCAUGAUGGCCCAGGCCUCAGGACACAGCUGGAGGACCCCAACCCCCAAAUCACAGUCCAGAUCUCUUCCCUCCCCAACUCCCGCCGCCCCACCCCCGGCGUUGGGCUCGGUUUCUCUGGAUUCUGGGCCUUUGCUCAGACUCAGCACAGACUCGCGUUUGUCACUCUUUUUUUUUUUUUUAAACAAAAGCAAUUAGAUUUCCC